UACGUAGGGGGCAAGCGUUGUCCGGAUUUAUUGGGCGUAAAGAGCGUGUAGGCGGCUUGGUAGGUCCGCUGUGAAAACUCGAGGCUCAACCUCGAGAUGUCGGCGGAAACCACUUGGCUAGAGUCCGGAAGAGGAGAGUGGAAUUCCCGGUGUAGCGGUGAAAUGCGCAGAUAUCAGGAGGAACACCAGUGGCGAAGGCGGUGCUCUGGGCCGAUACUGACGCUGAGGAGCGAAAGCGUGGGGAGCGAACAGG
rnacentral:rRNA from 1 species